AACGAACGCUGGCGGCAGGUCUUAGGCAUGCAAGUCGAACGGGUGAAACAGGUGCUUGCACUUGUGGAUCUAGUGGCGCACGAGUGAGUAACGCGUGGGAAACUGCCCACUACUGGGGAAUAACGUUUGGAAACGAACGCUAAUACCGCAUACGCCGGAAACGGGAAAGAUUUAUCAGUGGUGGAUGUGCCCGCGUUGGAUUAGCUUGUUGGUGGGGUAAACGGCCUACCAAGGCGAUGAUCCAUAGCUGGUCUGAGAGGACGAUCAGCCACGCUGGAACUGAGACACGGUCCAG
rnacentral:rRNA from 1 species